rnacentral:rRNA from 1 species
UACGAAGGGGGGCUAGCGUUGUUCGGAAUUACUGGGCGUAAAGCGCACGUAGGCGGAUAUUUAAGUCAGGGGUGAAAUCCCGGGGCUCAACCCCGGAACUGCCUUUGAUACUGGGUAUCUCGAGUCCGAGAGAGGUGAGUGGAAUUCCGAGUGUAGAGGUGAAAUUCGUAGAUAUUGGGAAGAACACCGGUGGCGAAGGCGGCGACCUGGUCCGAUACUGACGCUGAGGCGCGAAAGCGUGGGGAGCAAACAGG